rnacentral:rRNA from 1 species
GGGUUGUGAGGUUAAGCGACUAAGCGUACACGGUGGAUGCCCUGGCAGUCAGAGGCGAUGAAGGGCGUGCUAAUCUGCGAUAAGCGCCGGUAAGGUGAUAUGAACCGUUAUAACCGGCGAUACCCGAAUGGGGAAACCCAGUGUGACUCGUCACACUAUCAUUAACUGAAUCCAUAGGUUAAUGAGGCGAACCGGGGGAACUGAAACAUCUAAGUACCCCGAGGAAAAGAAAUCA